UACGGAGGAUCCAAGCGUUUAUCCGGAAUCAUUGGGUUUAAAGGGUCCGUAGGCGGUUUAGUAAGUCAGUGGUGAAAGCCCAUCGCUCAACGGUGGAACGGCCAUUGAUACUGCUGAACUUGAAUUAUUAGGAAGUAACUAGAAUAUGUAGUGUAGCGGUGAAAUGCUUAGAUAUUACAUGGAAUACCAAUUGCGAAGGCAGGUUACUACUAAUGGAUUGACGCUGAUGGACGAAAGCGUGGGGAGCGAACAGG
rnacentral:rRNA from 1 species